GACGAACGCUGGCGGCGUGCCUAACACAUGCAAGUCGAACGGAAAGGCCCUGCUUUUGUGCGGUUCUCGAGUGGCGCACGGGUGAGUAACACGUGAGUAUCCCGCCCUUGACUUUGGGAUAUCACCAGUAAACUCGGUCGCUUACCCGAUAGGAGCUCCUGCUGCAUGUUGGGUGUUGGAAAGUUUCGGCGGUUGGGGAUGGAAUCGCGGCUUAUCAGCUUGUUGGUGGGGUAGUGGCUUACCAAGGCUUUGACGGGUAGCCGGCCUGCGAGGGUGACCGGCCACAUUGGGACUGAGAUAGGGGCCAGACGGAUACGGGAGGAAGCGGUGCGGAAUAGUGCGAGAUGGGCGGAAGCAUGAUGCAGCAAUGUCGGGUGCGGGAGGACGGCUUUCGGGUUAUAAACCGCGUUCGACUGUGACGAAGCGUGAGUGACGGUAAUGGGUAAAGAAGCACCGGCUAACUACGUG
rnacentral:rRNA from 1 species